UAAACAACCUGCCUUCAGGAUGGGGACAGCAGACGGAAACGACUGCUAAUACCGAAUAAGUUCCAAGGGCCGCAUGGCCCAUGGAAGAAAAGGUGGCCUCUACCUGUAAGCUAUCGCCUGAAGAGGGGUUUGCGUCUGAUUAGCUGGUUGGAGGGGUAACGGCCCACCAAGGCGACGAUCAGUAGCCGGUCUGAGAGGAUGAACGGCCACACUGGAACUGAGACACGGUCCAG
rnacentral:rRNA from 1 species